AUUGCAGAAGAGCGGCUUCAGUUUUGGAUCAGCCGCAGUGGGCGGCCACCAACUUCACAUGAUGCUGUGGAUGUUGAGCGAGGCUUGUUGGAGCUCAGGAAGUUGAGCAUAGAGCAACAACUUUGGGAAGCAUCUCGGAAAGAAAUUGAUCAGCCCUCUUCAAACUUUGUUGCCAAUCAUAAACCUAGUGCAGAUUCAGA
rnacentral:misc_RNA from 1 species